GUUUCCUCCUUUGAUCAGCACAUUCAACUGGUGCAAUACAGGGAUGGAAAGGAAGGCAAGAAAUGGAGGUGGAUGAAUGGACAGGGAAGCCUGCUGCCAUGUCUUGAGGACCCUCCAACAGCUCUGUGGAGAAGCCCACAUGGUGAGAAACUGAGGCCUUCAUGCAACAGCCAUGUGAAAAAGUCUUCAUGGAAGUGGGUCUUCCAGCCCAAUCAGAUCUUCAGAUGACUGCAGCCCCAGCUGACAGUUUCACAGGAAACUAAUGAGAGACCCUGAACCAGAGCCACCUGGGCCCCUGAGUUUCUGGCAGUUACAGUCAGGGCCCUCUGCUGAAAGAAGCAUCAUGGAAACCUGGACACACAUGAGAACCGGCCUUCCACGCAGGCAAGAAGCAGAAACUGAGGCUCCUCCUUCUCCAUCAUGAGGAAUGUCUUCUGGAAGGCCCUCUGUUGACCUCUCUUGAGAGAUGGCUUUGGUCUGGGUCACCCUGGGCCAUCAGUCAUAUUCUAAUAAUUUGAACCUUAAAAAGAAGGGGUUCUGGUUUCUGUUUCCUCUUUUUGUGUCCCAUAUAAAUUUCAGAUGCGGACAGAUGUAUAGGCAUGGGGCCUUGGCUAACUGCACUCACGACUCUUAGCCAAAUUAAUGAAGGAUAAUACUAAAGAGAACAAAACCCCCAGGGUAUUACAUAUGGAUUUCAAAUUCCAGAAUGAGUGCGAGAUAAGGG
rnacentral:lncRNA from 1 species